UGGUGGAGUGAUUUGUCUGGUUAAUUCCGUUAACGAACGAGACCUCGACCUGCUAAAUAGUGUGCAUGUUAUCUUAACAUGUAGUACUUCUUAGGGGGACUCUCGGUGUGUAGCCGAUGGAAGUUCGAGGCAAUAACA
rnacentral:rRNA from 1 species